rnacentral:rRNA from 1 species
UACGUAGGGGGCCAGCGUUGUUCGGAAUUACUGGGCGUAAAGCGUGUGUAGGCGGCCACGUAAGUCGGAUGUGAAAGCCCCAGGCUCAACCUGGGAAGUGCACUCGAUACUGCGUGGCUUGAGUAUCGGAGAGGUUGGUGGAAUUCUCGGUGUAGAGGUGAAAUUCGUAGAUAUCGAGAGGAACACCGGUGGCGAAGGCGGCCAACUGGACGAAUACUGACGCUGAGACACGAAAGCGUGGGGAGCAAACAGG